rnacentral:lncRNA from 1 species
AGGGGAAUAGAUCUGCCAGGCUGUCUCUGAACAAAGGAGAGACAAAAGCAAUAUGGCUGGGGCAGGGAGAGUCUUUUAUAGAGACUGGGGUGGGGCUUGUAGGGGCUGAGGCGGGGUUGACUGAGGUAGUGACUAGGGAAUGGAGGAGCCGGUGAUGUCACUAGGUGGUAGGAGGUGAGCGAGUAUUAGGUUACUGUCUAGGUGGGAACAGGGGCAUGCUGGGAAGAAGGGUUUGUUCUUUGGUGGGAGCAACCAUCUUGGCAUGAUGUCACACAGGGGAGGGGGCAAGUCACCAUAGGAAGAGGGCAGCUACUAUACUUAAUAGCUGCUCAGGUGGUGGGAGACCUAUCAUAGCCCCUCUAUAUAUAAUCAUCCCUUG